UGAUGGUAGCAGGAGUGCGUAAUGCAGGGCAGUCUGGCGCCAGGGAAGAGCGGGAGCAGGGCUGACACAACUAGUCAGUGACAACUGUCUGGCAUUUGGAGUUUGCGACAGAAACUGUCUCCCCAUUAACGAAUCCUCUCCGUAUCACGUGAUGAAGUUCUGAUGGAAACAACAAUAGCAGUGACCUGAGAUGUUUAGCCCGCGUGUGGUCUGACAUUCAGCACCACAUGACAGUGGACAGUGGCAAUUUUAGGAGAAGCAGCAACGUCAAUCUACCUGAGCCCAGUGAGUGUGUGACUGCGAGGGUGGACGGAACGGAAACCCAGUUGCAACAGUCAGUUCUGCAGUAGCCAUUUUCCGGCGAGAAAGAGAAAUGUCCCUAUACUUACCAGAAAAAGUCGCUCAUCCACCAUGGCCGAAGAGGAAUAUUCAGACUGUUGAUUGGGAAACAAAAACAAUGAGACAUGAGGAUUUGGUGUUGAGGGACCACUUGUCACAGUGUCUAAGCCCAACAGGAGUGCAUCCCUCAGACCAUCCCGUUUAUCAACAUCCUGUGCUAGUGGGAUCCAAGCGCAGCGUCCAGUUGUGGAGACUACAGCACAUCGAGCCUGUGGAUGGACAGACAUGAGGCUUGACAUACGGAACAUCAGGCUCCCCCCAUGAGAAGCAGUGCAUGAGCAACCUCACCCUCAGCAAGAAGAUCUGCUGGAAGUGAUGUACACUCUCUCUCACUCUGGGGGUACUGACAGUAGGAAUAUGAGUCUGCCAGAGGUCGUAACGCUGUAUGGGGAUGGUGAUGGAGGCUUUGAUGAUCCACACAAUGAAGAAGCAGGUGUCCCUUCCAGUGAUGUGGAGCUGACCUUAAACCUGGUGCCAAUACAGAUGGUCUUCCCGGAGGUGGUAAAACCCUCCCUCCUUGAUAUAGAAAUCCUUAGACCUCACUGCAUCAAUGGUAAGGUCUCUUGCACCAUAGGGACACUUGACCUCCACCACUGAGAGGCACCCAGGAUCGCAGGCCCUGUGACCAAAAGCCUUUACUCAUGCAUAUCCAUCCCUGUUUCCAUUUUGAAUUCCUUGAUGCCCUACUCUUCGUUAUCUGUGCCCCACUUUACAGACAACACCCCAUCCAAAGACUGUGAACUGAGGACCCUUUUUUAGCAGCGACAGAGUAACGCGUUUGGCCAUAUCCACUGCUCCAUAAUUGCUGGCCACCAACCUUCCUCCCCUCAUGGUGCGCCAGUUAGGGCUGGUGCUCUGUCCAACUGUUGCCUGCCGUAUAGUCUCCUGCUGCACCACCGACAGCGCCAUGCCAGCCAUAAUACCUGCAUGCCCCAGGUGCCCUCAUUUUUAACAAUGCCCGGUAAAGACAGGGAUGACAGGGAGGGUAACGGUGGUUCUGGUUCAGGUUCAAGGCGACAUACCAUUCAACUGAACCUGCUCAGGAGAAGGUUCCUUAGCCACUGAAAAUCCUCCUCUGUGGGGUCUCAGGACAGAGUGUGGUAGUCUUCAUCUGGGUACAGGUCCUCCACUGACUGCACCUGGUUAGGCACGGCUGGCUUCCUCCACUCGCAUUCCACAUCCGUACAGCCGAUAUUGUGACCAGCCAAAAUAGGCUGCAUGGCUACACUUAUGAGCUCCAUGGAGGCAUUAGUAUGUGGCACAGAGAAUCCCCUGUUCGCAGAGAGGAAGGAUGUUAAGUGCCACAUGCCUUUCAAUGCAUGACUUUGAACACCUUGAAAUGCAUUUGUUGUAAGAAAUGUGCUUUAUAAAUAAAGUUUGAUUUGAUUGAU